rnacentral:rRNA from 1 species
UGCAGUCGAGCGGUAACAGAUCCAGCUUGCUGGAUGCUGACGAGCGGCGGACGGGUGAGUAAUGCAUAGGAAUCUGCCCGAUAGUGGGGGAUAACCUGGGGAAACCCAGGCUAAUACCGCAUACGUCCUACGGGAGAAAGGGGGCUCCGGCUCCCGCUAUGGGAUGAGCCUAUGUCGGAUUAGCUAGUUGGUGAGGUAACGGCUCACCAAGGCCACGAUCCGUAGCUGGUCUGAGAGGAUGAUCAGCCACAUCGGGACUGAGACACGGCCCGAACUCCUACGGGAGGCAGCAGUGGGGAAUAUUGGACAAUGGGGGAAACCCUGAUCCAGCCAUGCCGCGUGUGUGAAGAAGGCCCUCGGGUUGUAAAGCACUUUCAGCGAGGAAGAACGCCUAGCGGUUAAUACCCGCUAGGAAAGACAUCACUCGCAGAAGAAGCACCGGCUAACUCCGUGCCAGCAGCCGCGGUAAUACGGAGGGUGCAAGCGUUAAUCGGAAUUACUGGGCGUAAAGCGCGCGUAGGUGGCUUGAUAAGCCGGUUGUGAAAGCCCCGGGCUCAACCUGGGAACGGCAUCCGGAACUGUCAAGCUAGAGUGCAGGAGAGGAAGGUAGAAUUCCCGGUGUAGCGGUGAAAUGCGUAGAGAUCGGGAGGAAUACCAGUGGCGAAGGCGGCCUUCUGGACUGACACUGACACUGAG